GUCUCGGUAGUCUAAAAGCUUAGGACGCUCGCACGGAAUGCAAGAGAUCCGGGUUCGACUCCCGGCCGAGGCA
rfam:Trachymyrmex zeteki contig12912, whole genome shotgun sequence.